AGAGUUUGAUCAUGGCUCAGGAUGAACGCUAGCGGGAGGCUUAACACAUGCAAGUCGAGGGGCAGCACGAUGUAGCAAUACAUUGGUGGCGACCGGCGCCGGGUGAGUAACGCGUAUGUAACCUACCCUGUACAGGGGGAUAGCCCGGAGAAAUUCGGAUUAAUACCCCAUAAAGAUAUAUAGAGGCAUCUUUUUAUAUUUAAAGUUUCGGCGGUACGGGAUGGGCAUGCGUGACAUUAGCUAGUUGGUAAGGUAACGGCUUACCAAGGCUGCGAUGUCUAGGGGUCCUGAGAGGGUGAUCCCCCACACUGGUACUGAGACACGGACCAGACUCCUACGGGAGGCAGCAGUGAGGAAUAUUGGUCAAUGGGCGCAAGCCUGAACCAGCCAUCCCGCGUGCAGGAAGAAGGCGCUAUGCGUCGUAAACUGCUUUUCCAGGGGAAGAAAACCCGCUACGUGUAGCGGCUUGCCGGUACCCUGGGAAUAAGCAUCGGCUAACUCCGUGCCAGCCGCCGCGGUAAUACA
rnacentral:rRNA from 1 species